rnacentral:lncRNA from 1 species
AGCCAGCACCCCAGCAGUGGGGGGGGGCAGCAGCAACGCAUGUAUCUGUCUGUCCUCAGGAGACAUACGGCGAAGACCCGUUCCUGAGCGCAGAGCUGGCCAUGGCAUUCGUGCAGGGGCUGCAGGGUGACCAUCCCCGUUACGUCAAGGCCAGUGCCGGCUGCAAGCACUUCAGCGUGCAUGGGGGCCCUGAGAACGUGCCCGUCUCGAGGCUCAGCUUUGAUGCCAAGGUGCAAGAGCGGGACUGGAGAAUGACCUUCCUGCCCCAGUUCCAGGCCUGUGUGCGCGCUGGCUCCUACAGCGUCAUGUGCAGCUACAACAGGCACUUUUAAACAGCUGCCGUGCCCCGCCCCAGAGGUGGCUGCAUUUGGCAUUGCAAUAACUGCCAGACCCAACCCGGCAGGAUCAACGGCGUGCCCGCCUGUGCCAACAAGAAGCUGCUGACAGACAUCCUGCGGGCAGAGUGGGGCUUCCAGGGCUACGUGGUGAGCGACGAGGGGGCCGUGGAGUUGAUCAUGCUGGCCCAUCGCUACACACACAGCUUCCUGGAGACGGCCAUCGCCUCGGUGAACGCUGGCUGCAACCUGGAGCUGGCCUUCGGCCUGACAGAGAACGUCUUCAUGAGCAUCAGUGAAGCUGUGGCCAAGGGCAACAUCACGCUGGAGACGGUGAGGGCCCGGGUCCGGCCACUCUUCUACACACGCCUGCGGCUGGGGGAGUUCGACCCCCCUGCCAUGAACCCCUACAGUGCCCUCGACCUGAGUGCCGUGCAGAGCCCCACCCACAGGCGCCUCGCUGUGGAGGCUGCCAUCAAGAGCUUUGUGCUGCUGAAGAACCAGAGGGGGACGCUGCCCCUCAGCGCCCAGGCCCUGGCCGGCAAGCGCAUCGCGGUGGUUGGUCCCUUUGCCGACGACCCCAGGGUGCUGUUUGGGGACUACGCGCCCAUCCCGGACCCCCAGUACAUCUACACCCCCAGGAGGGGCCUGGAGACCCUGCCGGCCAACGUCAGCUUCGCCGCAGGCUGCAGCGAGCCCAGGUGCCAGCACUACUCGCCGAGCGAGGUGAAGGGGGCGGUCUGGGCAGCCGACAUCGUCGUGGUGUGCCUGGGCACAGGGACUGACCUGGAGACAGAGGCGAAGGACCGAUGGGACCUGUCCCUGCCCGGGCACCAGCAGGAGCUGCUGCAGGACGCUGUGGCCUGGGCCCGGGGGCACCCUGUCAUCCUGCUGCUGUUCAACGCGGGGCCACUGGACGUGGGCUGGGCCCAGGCCCACCACGGAGUAGGCGCCAUUCUGGCGUGCUUCUUCCCAGCACAGGCCGCGGGCAUCGCCAUCAUCAAAGUGCUGCUGGGGGAAGACGGGGCCAGCCCGGCAGGCAGGCUCCCGGCCACCUGGCCAGCUGGCAUGGACCAGGUGCCAGCCAUGGAGAAUUACACCAUGGAGGGGCGCACGUACCGGUACUAUGGGCCAAGGGCCCCACUCUACCCCUUCGGCUACGGACUGUCCUACACCACCUUCCUCUACCGGGACCUGGGCUUGAGCCCCACGGUGCUGCCCCUCUGCGCCAACCUCAGCGUCUCCGUGGUGGUGGAGAACACUGGGCAGAGGGAUGGUGAAGAGGUGGUGCAGCUGUACCUGCGUUGGGUGCAGCCCUCCGUGCCGGUGCCCCGCUGGCAGCUGGUUGGAUUCCGCCGGGUGCCCGUUGCCGCAGGCCGGGCGGCGAAGCUGCUGUUCCUGGUGACCUACGGGCAGCGCGCCGUCUGGGCCAAGCAGUGGCAGCUGGAGCCAGGCGCCUUCACGCUCUUUGUGGGCGGGCAGCAGCCGGGCCAGGAGACACGUGCCAGCUCCGAGGUCUUGCGGGCAGAAUUCACUGUGACUGGCACCACCCGACCCCUGAGCCACUGCUAGGGACAGGGAUGGUUCCUGGGGCACUGGAAUGGGAACUGCGAGGGGGUAGGAUGGGGCCAUAUGCAUUAGGAUUGGGAUCUGGCCCAGCACCCAGCUUGUUGUACCAGGAAGCGGGGUCACAUGACUGUCUCUAUCGGGAUUGGGAGGCUGGCCCGGCACCUGGCUGGCUGUAUUUGGGGGGCCGUCCCGGCACCUGGCUGGCUGUACUGGGGGGACCGGCCUGGCACUUGGCUGGCUGUAUUUGGGGGGCCAUCCUGGCUAUAGUGGGGACAGUGGGAGCUCAUUCACUCGAUGCACAAUAAACUUUGCC